UACGUAGGGUGCGAGCGUUAAUCGGAAUUACUGGGCGUAAAGCGCGCGUAGGCGGCUGUCUAAGUCGGGUGUGAAAGCCCCGGGCUCAACCUGGGAACUGCAUUCGAUACUGGACGGCUAGAGUAUGAGAGAGGGAGGUAGAAUUCCACGUGUAGCGGUGAAAUGCGUAGAUAUGUGGAGGAAUACCGGUGGCGAAGGCGGCCUCCUGGUUCAAUACUGACGCUGAGGUGCGAAAGCGUGGGGAGCAAACAGG
rnacentral:rRNA from 1 species